rnacentral:misc_RNA from 1 species
GAAAGAAAAAAAUAAUACUUCUACAACAGCUUGAUCAAUAUGAAGCAAAAAGCACAAAUUGCUGUCGUCUCGCGUCUAGUCAUGCAUCUUCACUUUGCCAUCCUUCACUAAGAGGUUAUUUACAUGGCGAGUCAACAUAGACAUCUAAAUCGAGGUCUGAAUGAACGUAGAGACCUCUUCUACUAUACAUGUGCAAGUCAGGACAGAGACAACAUCUAAAG